UUUUGGUAUAAGUUAAAAAUACUCUCUCGGGAGGCUUCAGCUAUAACGGUUCGUUUAUUUUGGUGUAAGCGGAGGGAGAAAACUCAAAUUUUAUCAUUUUCGUUAUUUAUUUUGGUAUAAGUUAAAAAUAUAAUAUAAUUUUAGUUACAUUUAAAUUUUCACUUCAUCUACUCUUGAUUUUUUUUUCUAAAAUAUUGAACUUGACUUCCGCCACACUCAACCUUUUCUAAAAUAAUUUAUUAAAUAGUAAAAUCUAAACUAUACUUCUUUUAUAAUAGACUAGAAUUACCUUAUUUAUGAUAAAUUAAAAUUAUUUUUAAAUAAUAAUAAAAAAUUUAAUUAUAUAAUAGGUUAAAUUUUAUAGCGGUAAGUUUAUCAUUAUAUUUGGAAGAUAUCAGAAUCCACUUAUUUACAUCAAAACAAACAAUAGACCUCAAAAAACUAAUUUCACCGGCAUCAAAUUAGAUCAAAACAAACAUAAAAAAUAAUUGAAUUUAACUUUCGGACUGUACUAGUUAUGUCAAAACAAAUAACAAAAAAAUAAUCACACUUCAGGAAAACUCAAAUACUACUGCAAUUGGGUUACUCGGAUGUACGAAUUCGUCAAUCCAAAUGCCCUGUAAUAAGAUGAAGAUGUAUACAUUUAAAAAUACAGAAAUUAUAAUUAUACAUAUUUUAUUUAGUUAAAUACAAUAUAAUAUACUAUAGCUAUAAAUAUUUCAUUUGAUUGCAUCCCGUUAAGAAAUCUCUUUACGGAUUACUAAUAUUUAAUGUAUAUAAAGUGGUCAGAUUACCUCCAAGGCUCCAACAUUAGAAAUAAAGAAAAAAAAUUAAAGGUUAUUAUGUAGGUAAUUUUAUCUUUAUUUAAAAUUAUUUUCUUCAAGUGUCGUAGCCUGUAGUUGGAAUUACAGUCAAUUUGAGCAUAGUUUCAACUGCGGCAUUUGAAACUCUCUAUGUAGUUACAAUUACAAUGGUUUAAUUCAAAUAUAUUUAAAUAAACGGCAGAUUUUGAUCUCUAUAUAAUUAUAAUAGCAGUGCAGACGCAACUAUAUGCAACGAAAUAUCUCCUUUUUCUCUAUUCUUAUAUCAAUUAUUUUUAUUUUUAUACUAUAAAUUCAGAAAAAAGUUAAUUGAAUUUUUUGGAUGUUUGGAUGAAUCAUUGUAAUUGUACACAGAGAUAUAUAUAUAUAUAUAUAUAUAUAUAGAGAUAUAUAUAUAUAUAUAUAUAUAUAUAUAUAUAGAGUCCGGCUAUGGUGCUUGUAAAAGCACCAAGCAUUUGGUGCUUGUAAGUUUUUUACCGUUAGAUCUACUUCUCGUAUCAUUUUCAACCAUUAGAUUAUACUAUUCAACCAACCACCCACUCAACCCCAGAGGGUCCACAUCAUCCUAACCACAUAUCUCUUAAUCCAAUGGCUAAAAAUCUACAAGCACCAAUAACUUAAUACUUUUAAAAGCAUAGGAGCUCAAUUCUAUAUAUAUAUAUAUAUAUAUAUACACAAGUAACAUAAUCCUUUAUAAAUAAACUCCUAGCUAUUUCUUAAUUAACAUUUUUUUUUUCAACUUUUGGAUCUUUUUUUUAUUUAAGUAAUUUCUACAAAUUAAACUAAAAACUUCAUUUCAAAUACCUGAUACACGUUUAUUUUUUUUUUAUUUAGAUUAUAAUAGAAAUUUGCUAUAUUUAAUGAGUUUUUUGUUUUUUUUUUGAAAGAUAUGAGUUCUUAGAUGUUUAAUUACUACACUUUCCUUUUCACUAAAAUAAAAAGAAAACCAACAGUUUCAUAUUGCUGGCGAUCAAUCAAUCCGUUUAAUAUUAAAAGUUACCUAAUGCUAGUAUAUAAAAUAGUUUAUUAUAAUAAACUUAUUUUAAUAUACAUAACAUAAUAUUAUGCAUAAAAAUAAAUGUAAUAUUUUUUUUAUGACUUCAAAGUCCUACCUCUCACGAGGGGUAUCAACAAGCUAAACACGAGUGAGCUGGAGUUAGUAAACGAGCUGAACACGAGUUAGCUGUUAAAGUAUCGAAUCGAAAAAUUUAGCUCGCCAAUGAACAAUAAGUUAAAAAAAUUAAAUUGAAUAUAUAUAAAAAAUAAAUUUAUAAAAUUUUAUCCAUUAAAUUUUGAUAUAAUGGUUGAAAUUUUACAUAUAAAUAAAUUUUUUUAUAAUUGAGCUCGUUUUUUAUCUUUUUAUUUUGCUAAAAAUUAAAUAAUAAAAAUAUAUAUUAUAUAUAUAAAUANCGCCACACUCAAUCUUUUCUAAAAAAAUUUAUUAAAUAGUAAAAUCUAAACUAUACUUCUUUUAUAAUGGACUAGAAUUACCUUAUUUAUAAUAAAUUAAAAUUAUUUUUAAGUAAUAAUAAAAAAUUUAAUUAUAUAAUAGGUUAAAUUUUAUAGCGGUAAGUUUAUCAUUAUAUUUGGAAAAUAACGAAAUUCACUUAUUUACAUCAAAACAAACAAUAGACCUCAAAAAACUAAUUUCACCGGCAUCAAAUUAGAUCAAAACAAACAUAAAAAGUAAUUGAAUUUAACUUUCGAACUGUACGAGUUAUAUCAAAACAAAUAAAAAAAAAAUAAUCACAUUUCAGAAAAACUCAAACACUACUGCACUUG
rnacentral:lncRNA from 1 species